GACCUGGUGGCGUAACUGUUAACGCACACAUUUACUGUAGGUUGAUGACACAUAAUCAGUUAAAUGCGAGACCCUCGUUCGAUUCCAGGUCAGGCCA